AAAAAAACAAACCCUAAAUUUCCGUGUCCAACGUUUGACUGUCCGUCUUAUUUUAAAAAAUUAUGAAAAAAAAUUUAAAAGACAAGUCACGCAUAAAGUAUUAAUCAUGUUUUAUCAUCUAACAACGAUGAAAAUACUAAUUAUAAAAAAAUUUCAUAUAAUACGGACAGUCAAACGUUGGACACGGAAACCCAGAGUUUAUCUUUUU
rnacentral:pre_miRNA from 1 species